GAUGAACGCUGGCGGCGUGCCUAAUACAUGCAAGUCGAGCGAACAGACGAGGAGCUUGCUCCUUCGACGUUAGCGGCGGACGGGUGAGUAACACGUAGGUAACCUACCUAUAAGACUGGGAUAACUUCGGGAAACCGGAGCUAAUACCGGAUAAUAUUUCGAUCCGCAUGGUUCGAUAGUGAAAGAUGGCUUUGCUAUCACUUAUAGAUGGACCUGCGCCGUAUUAGCUAGUUGGUAAGGUAACGGCUUACCAAGGCAACGAUACGUAGCCGACCUGAGAGGGUGAUCGGCCACACUGGAACUGAGACACGGUCCAGACUCCUACGGGAGGCAGCAGUAGGGAAUCUUCCGCAAUGGGCGAAAGCCUGACGGAGCAACGCCGCGUGAGUGAUGAAGGUCUUCGGAUCGUAAAACUCUGUUAUUAGGGAAGAACAAACGUGUAAGUAACUGUGCACGUCUUGACGGUACCUAAUCAGAAAGCCACGGCUAACUACGUG
rnacentral:rRNA from 1 species